ACGAAGGUCCCAAGCGUUGUUCGGAAUCACUGGGCGUAAAGGGUGCGUAGGCGGCACGGUAAGUCAGAUGUGAAAGCCCGGGGCUCAACCCCGGAACUGCAUCCGAUACUGCCGUGCUCGAGGACUGGAGAGGAGUCUGGAAUUCACAGUGGAGCAGUGAAAUGCGUAGAUAUUGUGAGGAACACUAGCGGCGAAGGCGAGACUCUGGACAGAUCCUGACGCUGAGGCACGAAGGCCAGGGGAGCAAACGGGAUUAGAUACCCCGGUAGUCCUGGCAGUAAACGGUGCACGCUUGGUGUGGGGGGAUUUGACCCCUCCCGUGCCGGAGCUAACGCGUUAAGCGUGCCGCCUGGGAAGUACGGUCGCAAGAUUA
rnacentral:rRNA from 1 species